AUUGAACGCUGGCGGCACGCUUAACACAUGCAAGUCGAGCGGUAACAUGGGUAGUAGCAAUACUAUCUGAUGACGAGCGGCGGACGGGUGAGUAACACGUAGGAACUUGACCAGGAGAGGGGGACAACCAAGGGAAACUUUGGCUAAUACCGCAUAUACUCGAGAGAGGAAAGCUGCCAGCAAUGGUGGCGCAAUUGGAGAGGCCUGCGUCCGAUUAGCUAGUUGGUGAGGUAAUAGCUUACCAAGGCGAGGAUCGGUAACUGGUCUGAGAGGACGACCAGUCACACUGGGACUGAGACACGGCCCAGACUCCUACGGGAGGCAGCAGUGGGGAAUCUUGGACAAUGGGGGCAACCCUGAUCCAGCGAUGCCGCGUGAGUGAAGAAGGCCUUCGGGUCGUAAAGCUCUUUAGGCUGGGAAGAAGGUUAGUAGUUUAAGAGAUAACUAGCUUGACUGUACCAGCAGAAUAAGCACCGGCAAACUCUGUGCCAGCCGCCGCUGUAA
rnacentral:rRNA from 1 species